GAAAAAGAGAAUGAAGAUGAUGGAGGAACAACAGAUUCAGGAGAAAGAGACCAUGAAGAUGGAGAAACGACAGAAUCCGGUGAAAGUGAGAAUGAGAAGAGAAGAAGAGUUCAUACAGAGAAAAGAGGGAAACGAAAUGCUUGAAAUAAUGAAAUUGGAGGGAAUUAAGAAACCGAAACCAGAGGAAAGACUGAAAAGAAGAGAAGAAAAACAGUUAUCUGAACUUUACAGGAGACACGAAAGUCCAGUUACUGGAUUCACACCAGUUUGUAUGUUAUCCUCGCUGGGAGAAAGAGGUGCUGGGAAAAGUUCAUCAGAAGAAACAUUCUUGCGUGGACCAGCAUUUGCCUCAAAGAAAAGCUCUACAUUCUCACAAGAUGCCGCUGUGGAGGCUGGAGAUUGGUUUCCAGUCCCUGUUUUUAACACACCAGGAUUAUCUGGUUCAUAUAUGACAGGAGGGGGUCAGCAGAUGAGGAAUGAAAGCUUUUCACGUCUUCAAACAAUGGCAAGUAAAGCAGAGCGAAAAAAGCCAGAACACACUCUAGUGUCCAGUCUCUCCUCCAGACGGAUUGUUCUUCUGGGUAAAUCUGGUGUUGGUAAAAGUACAGUUGGAAACACAAUCCUGGGACAGAAAAAGUUCUCAUGUCAGAUAAGGAGCCAUUCAGUAACGCGUGUUUGUUCAGCAGCUCAGGCCACAGUUUCAGGCAGAUCUGUGUCUGUAGUCGACACUCCGGGAUUCUUUCACACACAUAUGAACAACAAUGAGUUAAUGAUGGAGAUCCGCAGAAGUGUGUAUAUCUCCAGUCCUGGACCUCACGCUUUCCUCAUUGUGCUGCGUGCAAAUGACAGAUUCACUGAACUGGAGCAACAGACUCUUCAGAAGAUUGAGCUGAUGUUUGGUAAGGAUGUGUUGAAUUACUGCAUCAUUCUCUUCACUCAUGGAGAUCUGCU
ensembl:processed_transcript